GGUCGGUUAGCUCAGCGGUAGAGCACUUCGUUCACACUGAAGGGGUCGCAGGUUCUAAUCCUAUAUCGACCACCA
rnacentral:tRNA from 1 species